AGCUUAGAGAGCUUGCUUUUUAAGCUUAGUGGCGAACGGGUGAGUAACGCGUGAGUAACCUGCCCUAGAGUGGGGGACAACAGUUGGAAACGACUGCUAAUACCGCAUAAGCCCACGGCUCGGCAUCGAGCAGAGGGAAAAGGAGCAAUCCGCUUUGAGAUGGCCUCGCGUCCAAUUAGCUAGUUGGUGAGGUAACGGCCCACCAAGGCGACGAUCAGUAGCCGGCCUGAGAGGGUGAACGGCCACAUUGGGACUGAGACACGGUCCAAACUCC
rnacentral:rRNA from 1 species